UAACUUUUGAAACUCUGAAAGACAAGAGGAAAGCCCGACUACCUUGCUGCAAAACUGGAAAAGUGAUGGAAAUAAGACAGACCUUGACAUCCAAAUCUUACAACCUGAGAUCACUUCAUGAUGUCUUACUGCUACAAUCUUUCUUAUUUAAAGGAAAACACAUUUUGGUUUUAAUGAGACCUAAAUCUCUCACCCCAGUGUUUCUGGGGUGAAUAAUAUUUCCACCAUAUUGGCGCCCCCUCUAUGCAGCGCCCCUAUGCUGCCCAUACAGUGGAUUCCCACUUUUUCCGCCACCAUGUGCACUUAUCCAGAUCAUGAGCAGAUCUUCAAGGAGGCUGGUCAAAUAUCCUUUAAAAAACAAGUAGAAAGCUGAAAACUGUGAAAACUGAGGAUUUUGUCAGGAAAAAGAUUCUUGACAUCCAGACCUCACAGGUCAUGACGAUGAGUGACGGUAAUUAUCUAAAUGUGAGACUGAAUCAUGUUCACAGCGGCCAUAUUUUGGGGAAAGAAAAAAAAAACUUUGCGUGUUUAAUAUUUCCGGAAACCAUCUGGAUUAACCUAAAUUAUGGUCAGGUGGGGUGAGCCAGAUGCUUUCACUCGGCCUUUCCUCCCCCUUCCUGAGGAGGAUGAGGAUGUGAAAACCUGCCUUCAUCUGACUCCCUCUCUCUCAGAGGACCACCCCUCCCCUCUCCUCUCUCCUCUCCAUCUGACUGCGCCCGACUUCUUUCCCUCCAUCCUGCCACAGAGCUCCGCGGACUGCACCCAGCGCUCCGAGGAGGGAAGCGACAUUUUCAGCUUCUGCAUGUCUUCUUCUUCUUCUACUUCUUCCUCUUCUUCUUGACUCUGGACUAUGUCUGCUUAGCGAUCUCCUCUGGAGGGUAAAACUCUUCAUCUGCAGAGGGGAGGACGGUGUGAUCUCUGCAUCCCCCGCAUCACCAUCAUCAUCAUCACCAUCAUCACCAUCAUCCCUCCGCAUCCCUCCAUGGAGAGGAUUAAAUCCCGCAGAAGCCGGUCGCUUUUUGUUUUUUAGUGAAAACGCGCCGUUUAUUCUGCUCCUUGCUUUUGGAAGGUAUUGUUCGGUUUUGCGUUUAUUUGAAACUGAAAUUGACGCUUUUAGUGCGUUUAUUUGCAAAAGCCGCAGUGUGCUGUCGCGCUCUGCGGAACUGCUUCCUCUCCUUGUGAUAAAAAUCAUUUAAUAUGAUAAAAGCGACAUUUAUCUCCUUAAGAGGCCAUGAUGUAAUGUGAUGCUCUGACGAGAGAGGAUAGUCAUUUUUAGAGAUGUUUUGCAAAUAUUCCGUUUCUGUUUGAUUACUGCAUAUUAAAAUUGGUUAAUAGUGGCUUCAAACCUCUCAGCCGACCCCCACAAAGAAGCCCAUCCUCCCCCCUCUGCUCCCCCUCUGCGUUUUUAGCCUACAUGAGCUAUCUGGGUCAUUUGCAUUUCUGCGUUUAAUGAGGCUGCAGAUGGCUCCGUUUCUUUUCAUUUCUACCUGAGAGCCGCUGAGCUGCACUGAUGCACCUCUCAUCUCUUUUCUGCAUCAUUUUCUUCCUUUUUUUUUAUUUGGAGCUGACAUGAUGUGUGAACUGAUGCGGGAUGAUGGGUAGAGCUGCAGCCGCAGCUUCCACCCCUGCAGCAGUGCUGUAUAAGAACGCACAUUAUGGCUGCUGGAUAAUGGAGGGUAAUGCUCUGAAUGUCCGCAGUGCUGCUGCUACUGCUGCUUAAAGGACCAUACCGGCGUUUUUAAACCGGAUCUGGCAACAUUAAAUACACAUACCGGGCAUGCAUUGCAUUUUAAAAUAACGUAAUGCGUCUUUCCGCUCUGCCAGUAAGCCAUUAUUAGUUUCCACUGUGGGAUCAAAAUCAAUUUGUAGAGAUUUUACACCUGCAGCAGACAGACAAUCAAUUUCAGAGAGCAUUAGAUCCAUACUGGCAACUCUGGAACUGCUUUUUUUUUUUGGUUUUGUUUUAUUGCAUUUAAAUGUAAAUGCAAAUUUUUACAGAAAACAAUCAUCAUUUUAAUCUCUUUAAAUGUUAAAAAUGUGAGGCACAUUGCAGCGUUUUGUUUGACUAAGAGUAAAAUGAACAUUUCAUGGAUUAUUGGGCGAUCGGUGAAACUGUUUGGAGGUCAGAUCAAAAACAAAUUUAAAACAGGAACAUUUCAGUUUUUAUGUGAACUGUAGAGGUCAGAGCUCAUUAGAUUAAACCUUUUCAGGGUAAUAAUGGACCUCAAAGCAUUAAAUGCAUUCAGAGAAUCUGAACCUGUGUGACAAGUAGAGCUUGAAUCACACAAAAUUAUCACCAUUUUAUCAUAGAUCCUUAAAAGUGAAUGAACAUUAUACAUUAAAAAAAACAUUUAGCCAGUAUUUUUGGCCUAAGCAGUGACUAAACAGCUCAAAUUCUUUAGAAUCAUGACGUAUUAUAAGAGCUGCAUGUGCAAAUCAAAAAUCUUUGAUGUGUUGAGGCUGAUUUUGGUUAAAGGCGGUCAAGUAAAAAUAUAAAUGUGAGCUGAAUGUCCUGGAAAUGCUAAAUGUAUGCAGGAAAUGGUUAAAAAUGGCUGAAGUGAUGGAGGACUUUGGGUUUUCUCUCCUCGUGUUCACAGCGGACCUUGAUUUAAAUGUCCAUACAAUUAAGGCACGCGGUGAAUGCCAAGAGAGGGACCGAAAAUCAACAACCGCAGAAAUAUACAAACUAAACGUCCACUUUAACGCGACAAAUGGAUGCAGUACCACCCCAAACCACUAGAUGGCGUGCUCAUUUUACUCAACUGAAGCGUUGAUUUUUUUUUUUUUUAGCAUUUCACUCAUUAAUUUAGGGAAAAAA